GCCUACGGGAGGCAGCAGUGAGGAAUAUUGGACAAUGGAUGGAAAUCUGAUCCAGCCAUGCCGCGUGCAGGAAGACGGCCCUAUGGGUUGUAAACUGCUUUUAUAUGGGAGCAAUAAGGUUUACGAGUAGACCGAUGAGAGUACCAUAUGAAUAAGCAUCGGCUAACUCCGUGCCAGCAGCCGCGGUAAUA
rnacentral:rRNA from 1 species